CUUUUUGUCUUUUUAGGGCCACGCCCGUGACAUAUGGAGGCUUCCAGGCUAGGGGUCUAAUCGGAGCUGUAGCCACCAUCCUACUCCACAGCCACAGCAACGCCAGAUCCAAGCCACGUCUGCAACCUACACCACAACCACAGUUCAUGGCAAUGCCAGAUCCUUGACCUGCUAAGCAAGGCUAGGGAUCGAACCAACAACCUCAUGGUUCCUAGUUGGAUUUGUUUCCACUGUUCUACUGUAUAAUUUAAAAGAGUAGAUUGAAAUGCGUUAUAGUAUUUAAUGUGGAAACAUCAGCCAAGAUACUCUUAAUCUCACGUAAUUCAAUGGAAGAAGGAAUUGUGGAUACUACUUAUUUCCAUGGUCUUACUAAAUCACCCAAUAUGUGAAGAGGGUACAUCCUAGAUUAAGUAAACACAACAUCAGUCGCAAGGAAAAUAAAGAGAAGAUUCCUACGGAUGGAUGAGCACUAGAGCCCUUUGUAGAUGCCCUUCGGUAAUGGUUUUCUUUCCCAUCAGUGAUCUCAAGACCAAGAGAAAUGAAGAGGACAUCAGGAGGGAGCGCCCACUUAGCUACAGGUACCAGGAAAGGAGCAGGGUACAGCGUGAAGGAGAGAGCAAACUAGCACUGCUGCAAGUCAUGUGACUAUGAAUAUAACCUUUCAAAAGAUCCUAAAAGAUACUGAAAAACAGAUCCAGAGUCCUUAGACUAGUUAAACAUCUGAAACUGAGGUCUAUUCUCCAGAUGCCAACAAAAGAUUGAAAGCAUAAUUCUGCUACAGAGGCUUUUCUUUUCUUUUGCUUUUUAGGGCCACACUCGCGGCAUAUGGAGAUUCCCCGGCUAGACGUCAUAUCCGAGCUACAGCCACAGCAACGCAGGAUCCAAGUCGCAUCUGCGACCUACACCACAGCUCACGGCAACGUCAGAUCCUUAACCCACUGAGCAAGCCCAGGGAUCCAAACUGCAACCUCACGGUUCCCAGUCGGAUUCUUUUCCACUGAGCCCCAAUGGGCUCUCCUUUAGGGUCUUUUCUUCAUCAUCAUCUUACCUCCUUAAGCAUUAAAUACACACGCACACAAACACACACACACACUCACAUUGUAGAAAUUAGGUAUCUAAAUACUUUAUUUUCCCCCAAUUUAGCAAAUUUUAUGGAAAGUCU
ensembl:lncRNA